rnacentral:lncRNA from 1 species
CGGAUGCGAGCGAGCGCGAGGCUAUGUGGAUCGUUUUAAUACCAAAACCCCGAGCCUGCCGUAGAGUAACUGAAGCUGGCUUUUCAGGCUUUUCACUGAAACACUAAAGGUUCACCUUCGGUUGUCCGUUGACAUAUUCCCCUAAACAGCGGAUGAAAUUGAAAAGGUCGUUUAUCAAGCAUAUGCUAUGCUGCCUGAGUCAAUUUGUAUCUACAUUAUGCAGCCUCAUGCGCGGAAAUGAACUCAUCUGAAUUACUCGUUUUCUUUGCCAGCAGCAGAUAGACUGACCUAUCAUACGCUUUUAGCCCUGAUCUCGACGUGACAUGCUGUGCUCCGAGCGUGCUUCUUUUCCGAACGUACUACUCGUCUACCCCCAGCAAUGCCCAAGGCAGGCUCUGUCUCCAGCCAACCACGCAUCGAGAAAAUGCUCCGCUCGCAUAUACGUUUCAACCAGAACACAUGCAUCACAAUAUGAGCAUGCUUACUUGUGAGCCAGUGCCCAUGUUGUUGUUGUUGUUGUUGUUGUUGUUGUUACAUGGUCGUGGGUGCGUUCCCCGUACCUGCAAACCACCCUAGUACGAGCCGAGGGCUCAAGGGCUGCCAAAUCGCC